GACGAACGCUGGCGGCGUGCUUAACACAUGCAAGUCGAACGGAGUGGCGAACGGGUGAGUAACACGUGGGUGAUCUGCCUUGCACUUCGGGAUAAGCUUGGGAAACUGGGUCUAAUACCGGAUAGUGCAAGAUGAGCUCGCGGCCUAUCAGAUUGUUGGUGGGGUAAUGGCCUACCACGGCGUCGACGGGUAGCCGGCCUGAGAGGGUGUAAGGCCACCUUGGGCCUGCGGUAGGGCCCAGACUCCGACGUGAGGCAGCAGUUGGGAAGAUUGCACAAUGGGCGGAAGCCUGAUGCAGCGACGCCGCGUGGGGGAUGAAUGCCUUCGGGUUGUAAACUCCUUUCGACAGGGACGCGGUACCUGGAUAAGAAGCACCGGCUAACUACGUGCCAGCCGCCGCGGUAAUAC
rnacentral:rRNA from 1 species